rnacentral:rRNA from 1 species
CCUAUAGGAGUGAUGUGGAGACGGAGGAGUGACAACGCCGCGGACUGACGGAAUAGUCCGUUAAAGGGUGUAGAUGUUGAUUAUCCCAGGCAAAUCCGGGAUAAGAGUCGAACCUGACAGUAUACCAAUUUCCUCGGAAAACGGUAAUAGUGCGUGUAAACAUACUCCCAAGAAAAUCCGCUAAACUUAAUCUUACAGGUACCCGUACCGUAAACGGACACACGUAGUCGGGUUGAAUAUACUCAGGCGCUUGAGUGAAUCACGGUUAAGGAACUAGGCAAAUUGACCCUGUAACUUCGGGAUAAAGGGUCCCUACCCGGUGACGGGAGGGCGCAGAGAAUAGGUCCAGGCAACUGUUUAACAAAAACACAGGGCUGUGCAAAAUUGAAAGAUCACGUAUACAGCCUGACACCUGCCCGGUGCUGGAAGGUUAAGAGGAGAUGUCAUCGCAAGAGAAGCAUUGAAUUGAAGCCCCAGUAAACGGCGGCCGUAACUAUAACGGUCCUAAGGUAGCGAAAUUCCUUGUCGGGUAAGUUCCGACCUGCACGAAUGGUGUAAUGAUCUGGACACUGUCUCAACCGUGAGCUCAGUGAAAUUGUAGUAUCGGUGAAGAUGCCGAUUACCCGCGAUGGGACGAAAAGACCCCGUGAACCUUUACUAUAGCUUAACAUUGAAUUUGGGUAAUUGAUGUGUAGGAUAGGCCGGAGACUUUGAAGCAGGUACGCCAGUAUUUGUGGAGUCGCUGUUGAAAUACGGCCCUUUGGUUAUUUGAGUUCUAACUCGCUGAUGCGAGGACACUGUUUGGUGGGUAGUUUGACUGGGGUGGUCGCCUCCAAAAGCGUAACGGAGGCUUCUAAAGGUGCCCUCACGCCGAUUGGUAACCGGCGGUAGAGUGUAAUGGCAUAAGGGCGCUUGACUGGGAGACUUACAAGUCGAUCAGGUAGGAAACUAGAGCAUAGUGAUCCGGUGUUUCCGUAUGGAAGGGACAUCGCUCAAAGGAUAAAAGGUACUCCGGGGAUAACAGGCUGAUCCCUCCCAAGAGCUCAUAUCGACGGAGGGGUUUGGCACCUCGAUGUCGGCUCGUCACAUCCUGGGGCUGGAGAAGGUCCCAAGGGUUGGGCUGUUCGCCCAUUAAAGUGGCACGCGAGCUGGGUUCAGAACGUCGUGAGAC